GCAAGUCGUACGAGAACGCUCUAGCUUGCUAGAGCAAGUAAAGUGGCGCACGGGUGAGUAACGCGUGGGUAAUCUACCCUUGAAUCCGGAAUAACUCGCCGAAAGGCGUGCUAAUACCAGAUAAAAUCAUUUCAACUUUGGUUUAAAUGAUCAAAGGUGGCCUCUACAUGUAAGCUACCGUUUAAGGAUGAACCCGCGUACCAUUAGCUUGUUGGUGGGGUAAUGGCCUACCAAGGCGACGAUGGUUAGCUGGUCUGAGAGGAUGAUC
rnacentral:rRNA from 1 species